rnacentral:tRNA from 1 species
GCAGGGGUACCCAAGCGGCCAAAGGGGUGCGGCUAAGGACCGUAUGGCUUAGUGCCUUCGCAGGUUCGAAUCCUGCCUCCUGCA